rnacentral:rRNA from 1 species
AACCUCACUUGUGGGGGGAUUAGUGGCGAACGGGUGAGUAACACGUGAGUAACCUGCCCUUGACUCUGGGAUAAGCCUGGGAAACCGGGUCUAAUACUGGAUACGACCUUCUGGCGCAUGCCAUGUUGGUGGAAAGCUUUUGUGGUUUUGGAUGGACUCGCGGCCUAUCAGCUUGUUGGUGGGGUAAUGGCCUACCAAGGCGACGACGGGUAGCCGGCCUGAGAGGGUGACCGGCCACACUGGGACUGAGACACGGCCCAGACUCCUACGGGAGGCAGCAGUGGGGAAUAUUGCACAAUGGGCGCAAGCCUGAUGCAGCGACGCCGCGUGAGGGAUGAAGGCCUUCGGGUUGUAAACCUCUUUCAGUAGGGAAGAAGCCGGUCUUUUGGGUUGGUGACGGUACCUGCAGAAGAAGCGCCGGCUAACUACGUGCCAGCAGCCGCGGUAAUACGUAGGGCGCAAGCGUUAUCCGGAAUUAUUGGGCGUAAAGAGCUCGUAGGCGGUUUGUCGCGUCUGCCGUGAAAGUCCGGGGCUUAACUCCGGAUCUGCGGUGGGUACGGGCAGACUAGAGUGCAGUAGGGGGAGACUGGAAUUCCUGGUGUAGCGGUGAAAUGCGCAGAUAUCAGGAGGAACACCGAUGGCGANAUGCAGGUCUCUGGGCUGUAACUGACGCUGAGGAGCGAAAGCAUGGGGAGCGAACAGGAUUAGAUACCCCUGGUAGUCCAUGCCGUAACGUUGGGCACUAGGUGUGGGGGACAUUCCACGUUUUCCGCGCCGUAGCUAACGCAUUAGUGCCCCGCCUGGGGGAGUACCGGCCGCAAGGCUAAAACUCAAAGGAAUUGACCGGGGGCCCCGCAACAAGCCGCCG